rnacentral:rRNA from 1 species
CAGGGAUUGCCCCAGUAACGGCGAGUGAAGCGGCAACAGCUCAAAUUUGAAAUCUGGCCCCCUCGGGGCCCGAGUUGUAAUUUGCAGAGGGAGCUUUUGGCGUCGGCCGUGGUCUAAGUUCCUUGGAACAGGACGUCACAGAGGGUGAGAAUCCCGUACGUGGCCGCCGGCCUUCGCCUUGUAAAGCCCCUUCGACGAGUCGAGUUGUUUGGGAAUGCAGCUCUAAAUGGGAGGUAAAUUCCUUCUAAAGCUAAAUACCCGCCAGAGACCGAUAGCGCACAAGUAGAGUGAUCGAAAGAUGAAAAGCACUUUGGAAAGAGAGUGAAAAAGCACGUGAAAUUGUUGAAAGGGAAGCGCUUGCGGCUAGACGUGCCCGCGGUUGAUCAUCCAGGCUCCGGCCUGGUGCACUCCUCCGCGGGCAGGCCAGCAUCAGUUCGGGCGGUCGGAUAAAGGCCUCUGUCACGUACCACCCCCCGGGGUGGCCUUAUAGGGGAGGCGCAACACGGCCAGCCCGGACUGAGGUUCCGCGCAUCUGCUAGGAUGCUGGCGUAAUAGCAGCAAGCGGCCCGUCUUGAAACACGGACCAAGGAGUCUAACAUCUAUGCGAGUGUUUGGGUGUCAAGCCCGAGCGCGCAAUGAAAGUGAACGGAGGUGGGAACCCUCACGGGUGCACCAUCGACCGAUCCUGAUGUCUUCGGAUGGAUUUGAGUAAGAGCAUAGCUGUUGGGACCCGAAAGAUGGUGAACUAUGCCUGAAUAGGGUGAAGCCAGAGGAAACUCUGGUGGAGGCUCGCAGCGGUUCUGACGUGCAAAUCGAUCGUCAAAUUUGGGCAUAGGGGCGAAAGACUAAUCGAACCAUCUA